rnacentral:rRNA from 1 species
AUGGCUGGAAGAACGGAUGACACAUUCUUUAUGGCCUGGCUUGCGGUUGCCUUCAGCACUUUUCUAGCACCAACCACGGCCUUGAAGCUCAGCCCAAAGUGUUACGGACUUGUGCUAGAUCAUCAAAUGCUCAAGAACACAAACAUCUACCUCUUUGUAGCAGAACACAUUAAUGAAGCUUUCCGGAACAUGGACCAGGAGAAGCAAACUGUCUGCUGCUGCUUGUAUCACUUGAUGAUACUAUACCUUGAUGCGCUCGUACAUGACAUCCCAGUAAGCAACUGCGCGAUACGAUCGAAUGCAUGGGAUAGUACUCUAAUUGCCAAGGUGAUCAAGAAGGAUCUAUCUCUCCUGAGGAGUAUAGAGGCACGGAGCAGACACCACUGUUUGGUGGAAUUUUGCAAGCUGAAGCAUUCGUGGCAUCCAAGUUACCAAUAA